UGAGGAAUAUUGGUCAAUGGGCGCGAGCCUGAACCAGCCAAGUAGCGUGCAGGAUGACGGCCCUAUGGGUUGUAAACUGCUUUUAUAUGGGGAUAAAGUGGGGAACGUGUUCCCUUUUGCAGGUACCAUAUGAAUAAGGACCGGCUAAUUCCGUGCCAGCAGCCGCGGUAAUACGGAAGGUUCGGGCGUUAUCCGGAUUUAUUGGGUUUAAAGGGAGCGUAGGCCGUUUGGUAAGCGUGUUGUGAAAUGUAGGAGCUCAACUUCUAGAUUGCAGCGCGAACUGUCAGACUUGAGUACGCACAACGUAGGCGGAAUUCAUGGUGUAGCGGUGAAAUGCUUAGAUAUCAUGAAGAACUCCGAUUGCGAAGGCAGCUUACGGGAGCGCAACUGACGCUGAAGCUCGAAGGUGCGGGUAUCGAACAGG
rnacentral:rRNA from 1 species